rnacentral:lncRNA from 1 species
CUUUCCAGUCACCCCAGUCAAGUGGAGGGGCAGGCAACGGAGCAGGCUGGCGUGGGUAAAGUAAUGAGAGCAGCCUCCUGCCAGCCUGCUGAGGGGCUGUGGACACACCAGACAGGCCCUGGGCCACUGCAGAGAAGGGAAGAACCAGGUUGCUAGAUCUUGCCCCCAAAGCAAUCUGUUCCACCAAGGUGGGGACAGGUGUGGCCAGGAGCCCCACAGCCCUAGCCUUUGUAUCCAGGCCAAAAGACACCAGGGCCAUGGUUGCAGGUUGGGGGUUACACACAAGCUGGAAGGUCUACGCUUCACCCAGGCAGGGCACCCAGACUCUGGGCAGGCACCACCCCGUGUCAGCAGGGUAGCCAGAGUUCCUUCUUUUUUUUUUUUUUUUUUUGAGAUGAAGUCUUGCUCUGUUGCCCAGGCUAGAGUGCAAUGGCACGAUCUCGGCUCACUGCAACCUCUGCCUCCCUGGUUCAAGCGAUUCUCCUGCCUCAGCCUCCUGAGUAGCUGGGAUUACAGGUGCGCACCAUCAUGCCCAGCUGAUUUUUGUGUUUUUGUAGAGACGGGAUUUCACUAUGUUGGUCAGGCUAGUCUUCAACUCCUGACCUCAGGUGAUCCGCCCCCCUCGGCCUCCCAAAGUGCUGGGAUUAAC